AUUGAACGCUGGCUGCAGGCCUAACACAUGCAAGUCGAACGCGUGGCGGACGGGUGAGUAAUGUCUGGUAAACUGCCUGAUGGAGGGGGAUAACUACUGGAAACGGUAGCUAAUCCCUCAUACCAUCCGAUGUGCCCAGAGGGGAUGGGCUAGUUGGGUGUGUAAAGGCUCACCUAGGCGGCGAUCCCUAGCUGGUCUGAGAGGAGGACCAGCCACAAUGGAACUGAGACCAGGCCCAGACGCCGGCGGCGGCAAGCAGUGGGAAGUGUCGGACAAUUGGAGCAGGCCUGAUGCAGCCAUGCCGCUAGAAGGAAGAGGCCGUUAGGGUGGUAAAGUACUUUCAGCGGGGAGGCGUUACCGGAAGAAGAAGCUCCGGCUAACUCCGUGCCAGCAGCCGCGGUAAUUC
rnacentral:rRNA from 1 species